rnacentral:rRNA from 1 species
CCUACGGGUGGCAGCAGUGAGGAAUAUUGGUCAAUGGACGAGAGUCUGAACCAGCCAAGUAGCGUGAAGGAUGACUGCCCUAUGGGUUGUAAACUUCUUUUAUAAAGGAAUAAAACGAGGCACGUGUGCCUUUUUGCAUGUACUUUAUGAAUAAGGAUCGGCUAACUCCGUGCCAGCAGCCGCGGUAAUACGGAGGAUCCGAGCGUUAUCCGGAUUUAUUGGGUUUAAAGGGAGCGUAGGUGGGUUGUUAAGUCAGUUGUGAAAUUGUGCGGCUCAACCGGAAAAUUGCAAUUGAUACUGGCAGUCUUGAGUACAGUUGAGGUAGGCGGAAUGCGUGGUGUAGCGGUGAAAUGCUUAGAGAUCACAAAGAACCCCGAUUGCGAAGGCAGCUUACUAAGCUGUGACUGACAUUGAUGCUCGAAAGUGUGGGUAUCAAACAGGAUUAGAUACCCUAGUAGUC